rnacentral:rRNA from 1 species
AACGAACGCUGGCAGAAUGCUUAACACAUGCAAGUCGAACGUGAAAGUACUUCGGUAUGAGUAAAGUGGCGCACGGGUGAGUAACACGUAGGUGACCUGCCGUUUAGAGUGGGAUAACCAGAAGAAAUUUUGGCUAAUACCGCAUACGAAGAACGAGUUUAAAUAUAGUUCUUGAAAGGAUGCCUUUGUAUAUGCAUCUACUAAACGAUGGGCCUGCGGUACAUUAGCUAGUUGGUGGGGUAAUGGCCUACCAAGGCGACGAUGUAUAACGGAUCUGAGAGGAUGAUCCGUCACACUGGAACUGAGACACGGUCCAGACUCCUACGGGAGGCAGCAGUGGUGAAUAUUGGACAAUGGGCGAAAGCCUGAUCCAGCAAUUCUGCGUGAGUGAGGAAGGACUUCGGUCUGUAAAGCUCUGUUAAUGCGGAAAAAUGGUUAGCGGUCUAAUAGGCCGUUAAUUUGAUGGUACACAUAGAGGAAGCACCGGCUAACUUCGUGCCAGCAGCCGCAGUAA